rnacentral:rRNA from 1 species
AUUGAACGCUGGCGGAAUGCUUUACACAUGCAAGUCGAACGGCAGCACGGACUUCGGUCUGGUGGCGAGUGGCGAACGGGUGAGUAAUGUAUCGGAACGUGCCCAGUCGUGGGGGAUAACGUAGUGAAAAUUACGCUAAUACCACAUACGAUCUAUGGAUGAAAGCGGGGGAUCGCAAGACCUCGCGCGAUUGGAGCGGCCGAUAUCAGAUUAGGUAGUUGGUGGGGUAAAGGCCCACCAAGCCAACGAUCUGUAGCUGGUCUGAGAGGACGGCCGGCCACACUGGAACUGAGACACGGUCCAGCCUCCUACGGGAGGCAGCAGUGGGGAAUUUUGGACAAUGGGCGAAAGCCUGAUCCAGCCAUUCCGCGUGCAGGAUGAAGGCCCUCGGGUUGUAAACUGCUUUUGUACAGAACGAAAAGGUUUCUACUAAUACUAGGAGCUCAUGACGGUACUGUAAGAAUAAGCACCGGCUAACUACGUGCCAGCCGCCGCCGUAA